GAGGUGAUUCAACUUCCAGAGGCUUCCUCGUAAAUUUUUGGAAUUUUUGAGACACAGAUAAACUUCGGGUGAUCGAGGUCAGCUAUUUUUCUACAUCCAGCAGCCACAAUAGUCAUCGGUGUACUGUGAGUAAAAUAUUAAUUUUAAUUGUAAUUUCACUAUUAUUAUAUGUUCAAGCAUGCCCAUGCAUCACUUAUAUGCAUAUAUUUAUGUAGUUAAACUCUAGGCACGAUUUAUAUUGCAUUGAUAACUGUUAAAGUGCCA